rnacentral:rRNA from 1 species
UACGAAGGGUGCAAACGUUGCUCGGAAUUAUUGGGCGUAAAGCGCACGUAGGCGGCAUUGCAAGUCGGAUGUGAAAUCCCUCGGCUCAACCAAGGAAGUGCAUCCGAAACUGCUGUGCUUGAGUACUUAAGAGGAUCGCGGAAUUCCCGGUGUAGAGGUGAAAUGCGUAGAUAUUGGGAGGAACACCAGUGGCGAAGGCGGCUCACUGGACCGGUACUGACGCUGAUGCGCGAAAGCGUGGGGAGCAAACAGG